rnacentral:misc_RNA from 1 species
GAUGAAGAACGCAGCGAAAUGCGAUAAGUAAUGUGAAUUGCAGAAUUCAGUGAAUCAUCGAAUCUUUGAACGCACCUUGCACCCUUUGGCAUUCUGAAGGGUAUGCUCGUUUGAGUGUCAUUGUACUCUCACACUCCCGAUCUUUGCAUUGGGAGCAGUGGACUUGGGUUUGCUGCUUCACCGUCGCUUACCUCAAAUAGGUUAGUGCAACUCUUGGUUGGACAUAGUACGGCGUGAUAAGUGUUCUUCGCCGGUGCCUCGCAAAGAGGGUGGCCGAUCGGGAUGUUGUGCUCCAAACCGUCUUCGGACAAUCUCUGACGAAUUGACCUCAAAUCGAGUAAGACUACCCGCUGAACUUAAGCAUAUCAAUAAGCGGAGGA